CCUGGUACAUACCGCUGUCCUCUCUGUUCAGAAGCUAAGCAGGGUCUGACCUGGUUGCUAUUUGUAUGGGAGACCACCAGGAAAUCCUCCAGGAUCUUCCAGUU
rnacentral:rRNA from 1 species